rnacentral:misc_RNA from 1 species
GAUGAAGAACGUAGUGAAAUGCGAUACUUGGUGUUAAUUGCAGAAUCCCGUGAACCAUCGAGUCUUUGAACGCAAGUUGCGCCCGAAGCCAUUAGGCCGAGGGCACGCCUGCCUGGGCGUCACACGUCGUUGCCCCCCCAUCUACUCCUUCGGGAUUGCGGGGGGCGGAUGAUGGCCUCCCGUGCGCCUCGCCGCGCGGUUGGCAUAAAUGCCAAGUCCUCGGCGACGCACGCCACGACAAUCGGUGGUUGCGAAACCUCGGUUGCCCGUCGUGUGCGGUCGUCGCGCAUCGAGGGCUCGAAAAAAUUGCCGGGUUCCGGCUCGGCUUUCAACGCGACCCCAGGUCAGGCGGGGUUACCCGCUGAAUUUAAGCAUAUCAAUAAGGGAGGA